rnacentral:rRNA from 1 species
CCUACGGGGGGCAGCAGUGGGGAAUAUUGCACAAUGGGGGAAACCCUGAUGCAGCGACGCCGCGUGAGUGAAGAAGUAUUUCGGUACGUAAAGCUCUAUCAGCAGGGAAGAAAAUGACGGUACCUGACUAAGAAGUCCCGGCUAACUACGUGCCAGCAGCCGCGGUAAUACGUAGGGGGCAAGCGUUAUCCGGAUUUACUGGGUGUAAAGGGAGCGUAGACGGCAGCGCAAGUCUGGAGUGAAAUCCCAUGGCUUAACCAUGGAACUGCUUUGGAAACUGUGCAGCUAGAGUGCAGGAGAGGUAAGCGGAAUUCCUAGUGUAGCGGUGAAAUGCGUAGAUAUUAGGAGGAACACCAGUGGCGAAGGCGGCUUACUGGACUGUAACUGACGUUGAGGCUCGAAAGCGUGGGGAGCAAACAGGAUUAGAUACCCGGGUAGUC